rnacentral:rRNA from 1 species
UGGGGAAUAUUGCACAAUGGGCGCAAGCCUGAUGCAGCCAUGCCGCGUGUAUGAAGAAGGCCUUCGGGUUGUAAAGUACUUUCAGUCGGGAGGAAGGUGUCAAGGUUAAUAACCUUGGCAAUUGACGUUACCGACAGAAGAAGCACCGGCUAACUCCGUGCCAGCAGCCGCGGUAAUACGGAGGGUGCAAGCGUUAAUCGGAAUUACUGGGCGGAAAGCGCACGCAGGCGGUUGAUUGAGUCAGAUGUGAAAUCCCCGGGCUCAACCUGGGAACUGCAUCUGAUACUGGCAAGCUUGAGUCUCGUAGAGGGGGGUAGAAUUCCAGGUGUAGCGGUGAAAUGCGUAGAGAUCUGGAGGAAUACCGGUGGCGAAGGCGGCCCCCUGGACGAAGACUGACGCUCAGGUGCGAAAGCGUGGGGAGCAAACAGG